rnacentral:rRNA from 1 species
UACGUAGGGCGCAAGCGUUAUCCGGAAUUAUUGGGCGUAAAGAGCUCGUAGGCGGUUUGUCGCGUCUGCCGUGAAAGUCCGGGGCUCAACUCCGGAUCUGCGGUGGGUACGGGCAGACUAGAGUGAUGUAGGGGAGACUGGAAUUCCUGGUGUAGCGGUGAAAUGCGCAGAUAUCAGGAGGGACACCGGUGGCGAAGGCGGGUCUCUGGGCCGAUACUGACGCUGAGGAGCGAAAGCGUGGGGAGCGAACAGG